AAAUGAUUAAAAUGGAAUGUUGGCCAAUGCCCACCCUUUUUUAAUAAUUUCUCUUAUUCUAAGCACCAUUUUUACACAUUUGAGGUUAAUAAGCUCCACAUUAUAACUGGCAAGUAGGGUGCUUUAACUUUGGCAGAAUAAUGUUUUUUGUUUUUUUUUUUUUGCCUGAGAAAUUUUCUGAGAGAUAAAUGAUAUUACCAGGUGGGAAGGUGAGAGCAAAACAAGACCCAAAAUGCAAAAAAAGAUAGCUGCUUUCAGAGCUGAAAAAGAAAGCACACAUCCCUUUCCUGAAGCUGACUCAUUUUCCUGUUCUCUCCCAGAAACAGGAAGACUUUUUCAAGACUUUACUACUUUGUAGUUCUGGAAAUCACUUGGAUCUGUGCAAUUUUCCUCCAGGCUCUUAUCCACAUUAUAUAUAUUUUAUAAAGAUGAACAGUGCACCAAAGACCUUGCUCAGGAACAUAGUGACUGUGGUAUUGGUUCACCUCAGGCCUUGCUCAGGCAGAUAGUGACCACAGUACUGGCUCAGCCUGGUUGCUGGAGGAACUGAUGGACAGACAUCUUGUUCAACAGCUGAGGGAAAAUUGAGUAUGUGCCAGAAAACAUGACUAUGGGUCGACCAUCUUACCCUGAGUGAUGUGUGUAAUGCCAUCAGCCACAACGUCAUAGUCUUUCACAGGACAAAAGAAGACUAAAAAUGGAAAGAAAGAGAAGGGACAAGCCAGCCUAUCUAGAAAAUAUAGCCGCCAAGGAAAGCUGUGCCAGGGAAGAGGAACACACUGUUACCAAAGUCCAGUUCACAAUGGGUUCAUUCCUUCUGCCAUUUACACAAAGCCACAGCUGAUCAGACUGAAACAUUCCUCUUGCUGGCUCCUAUUCUUCCUUCAUUUUAUUAAUAACCUGGCAACAGGAUAGGGGCUAAGAAAAGAGACCUUCUAGAAUGGAGAAUUUACUGAAGAAACCAGAAGUGAAAGGUAGGUAUGGGAGUUUGAAGUCACAUUUAUUAGGUGACAUAGUUCCUUUAGAGAACGAGAAAAGGACUUUAGGCAUGAGCACAACCCAUCAGGAAAAUCCAUGGUGACCUGGGCAAAUUCAUGCAGCACGGAUGUUGUAGAACAGUUUUAUGGAAGUGUGACAUCUUAAAGUCAAAAUAUAUUUUUCUCUGAUUAUUUUUUGUAUUGAUGUGGGUUCUGUUUUGUUUUGCUUUUGUUUGUUUGACAUUGUUGCUGAUUUUUAAGUACCUGUCCUACAUGAUGAGAUCUUGCAGCUCAAUUAAAAAGGAAAUAAUUAUUUAAAGCAUUCUGUGGAAUGUGGAACAGGCCCUGGAAGCUCUAAUAGGCCUUCAUGGCCUUGAUCAGUCCCACCUUAGGACACUCCUAAACAGGGGACCAGAGCACAUUUAAGUACAGUUCUGCACCUUUAGUCUCUGCCAGAGCUCUGCUGUAGUAUGUAUUUGCUCUGCUUUCUCUCUAGUUCACGUGCACUGGUUGUGGUCACUAAAGAAGAAUGUGUUGCUAUUGUUAUACAUUCUAAUAUCAUUACUGAAAGAUGUUUCAUUGACAUAAGUCCUUCUUACUUAAAGAACUUUUAGUACAGUUAAAUAAAAUACACAAGACAUGUAGGAUGAUUCAAAACAACAGAAUGGAUAAGAUAGCACAAAGUGUUCUGUUUCCCUUUGAAUUAUAGAAAUGCAAGUUGGAGAAGGGAAAAUUACUAAAACUUAAUUAUCAGGACAACAAAAUUUGCAGCUAAAUUUAACUGGUAGUUCUUUUAAAUACAAGUCUUGUCCAUGGGAAACCUGCAGACAUCUAGUUAAAAUUUGCUUAGUGCAAAUUUUUCCAGUUCCCACACUAAAACAGGGGGAACUGUUAAGAUUUUAACACUUCCAGUGAAGUGGCUACAAUGUUUGCCUAAAUGUUCUCCAGAAGUGGGUGAAUACACCCUUGGCCAGCUGCUUCAGAAACCGAAUCUGCUCCAAAAGGGAAAAAAAAUAAGGCUAUAGCACUUCUAGGGUGAAGUCCCUCUUGAAUUAAUCUACUGAAUAUUACAGAUAGCUGUAGUAUGAGUCACUCUAAACCUAAAGGGUCUGAUCCAGGAUAGAGUUUUAAAAUUGCUUUCUGAGAAGAGUCAGCUGGCAGUCACUUUUCAUUUUCUUUUUUGCUUAAAACAAGCAGCAGGGGGGUGCUUCUGGUUGUUCUGCUUCUGGACAGUGCUGAAGAAAUUAUCAGGUAGAUGACAGCUGUGUAGGUCUUCUGUUGAUUUUAUUUUGUGCAGGCAUGUGAGGGUAAAUAUGGUAAAAUAAUGGUAAAAAUAUUUCAAAUGCAGUCAAACCACUCCUGCAGCUUCAGGUUUUCCUAAUAAUGUGAGAAGACUUGUAUUUUCAUACAAAUAAAUGUAUUU
ensembl:lncRNA